rnacentral:rRNA from 1 species
AACGCGUGGGCAACCUACCUUAUACAGGGGGACAACAUCGGGAAACCGGUGCUAAUACCGCAUAACACAUUGAAAUGGAAUCAUUAUGAUGUCAAAGGAGGAAUCCGGUAUAAGAUGGGCCCGCGUCCAAUUAGCUAGUUGGUGAGGUAACGGCUCACCAAGGCGACGAUUGGUAGCCGAACUGAGAGGUUGAUCGGCCACAUUGGGACUGAGACACGGCCCAGACUCCUACGGGAGGCAGCAGUGGGGAAUAUUGCACAAUGGGGGAAACCCUGAUGCAGCAACGCCGCGUGAAGGAUGAAGGUCUUCGGAUUGUAAACUUCUUUGAUUGGGGAAGAAGAAGUGACGGUACCCAAAAAACAAGCCACGGCUAACUACGUGCCAGCAGCCGCGGUAAUACGUAGGUGGCAAGCGUUGUCCGGAAUUACUGGGUGUAAAGGGCGUGUAGGCGGGGAUGCAAGCCAGGUGUGAAAGCCCAUGGCUCAACUGUGGGACUGCAUCUGAAACUGAAUCUCUUGAGUACUGGAGAGGGAAGUGGAAUUCCUAGUGUAGCGGUGAAAUGCGUAGAGAUUAGGAGGAACAGCAGUGGCGAAGGCGGCUUCCUGGACAGUAACUGACGCUGAGGCGCGAAAGCGUGGGGAGCGAACAGGAUUAGAUACCCUGGUAGUCCACGCCGUAAACGAUGGAUACUUAGGUGUAGGAGGUAUCGACCCCUUCUGUGCCGGAGUUAACACAUUAAGUAUCCCACCUGGGGAAUACGACCGCAAGGCUGAAACUCAAAGGAAUUGACGGGGGCCCGCACAAGCAGUGGAGUAUGUGGUUUAAUUCGAAGCAACGCGAAGAACCUUACCAGGGCUUGACAUCCCUUGACAGCUCUAGAGAUAGAGUUUCCCUUCGGGGCAAGGAGACAGGUGGUGCAUGGUUGUCGUCAGCUCGUGUCGUGAGAUGUUGGGUUAAGUCCCGUAACGAGCGCAACCCUUAUUGUUAGUUGCCAGCAAGUAAAGUUGGGCACUCUAACGAGACUGCCGGUGAUAAAUCGGAGGAAGGUGGGGAUGACGUCAAAUCAUCAUGCCCCUUAUGUCCUGGGCUACACACGUACUACAAUGGCUGGUACAGAGGGGAGCUAAGCCGCGAGGUGGAGCCAAUCCCCAAAACCAGUCCCAGUUCGGAUUGCAGGCUGCAAUUCGCCUGCAUGAAGUGGGAAUUGCUAGUAAUGGCAGGUCAGCAUACUGCCGUGAUACGUUCCCGGGCCUUGUACACACCGCCCGUCACACC